UACAGAGGGGCAAGCGUUGUUCGGAAUUACUGGGCGUAAAGGCGCGUAGGCGGCCGCUAAGUCGAACGUGAAUCCCGGGCUCAACCCGGGAACUGCGUCCGAUACUGGUGGCUUGAAUCCGGAGAGGGAUGCGGAAUUCCAGGUGGUAGCGGUGAAAUGCGUAGAUAUCUGGAGGAACACCGGUGGCGAAGGCGGCAUCCUGGA
rnacentral:rRNA from 1 species